CUGGUUCUUCUAUCUCGUUCAAGUAGUUUCAGGCGUGCACACUUAUAUCUCACGUAUAUUGCUUGUAAAAUAGAAUUGCUCUUUUGCUCUCAAUUAUGUUUAACUUCUGCGAUGUGCAAUACCUGUAAAAGAGAACAAACCAAGAUAUUUAAUGAGUUAGUAAUCAGAGUUUGAUUGAGACUCAAUUUCUUAUCCUUAGACGAAUUUGAGUCCUUGAACAAUACAAACUCCAACCCUAUCCUUGCUUAGACUCAUGUUCUCUUCUCAUAAGGAGACUGUUCUCCUUAUCCCAAAUAUAAUCUUUUCGAUCAGUUCAGAAGAUAUUGUUGCUUGUUCUUUAAGACAUAUCUUCCUCACUUACAUAUCAUAUGCAAUGGUUGAUAUAUACUGUGUCACACCAGAUGGACCAGGUCUAUUACUGAGUUCAUUUUUCAAUCUUCAAAACUUCAAUUGACUUCGGGCCAACAAAUUCCCCCUUUUUGAUGAUGUGCUUUACUGAUCAGAGAACCUGCGAACUCAGCUGAAAUAUCAAUACUUAAAAUUUGAACAUAACAUUAAGGACUAGAUUUAAUUAGGUCAUAAAUAUCACUGUUCAGAUAAUAGAGUUUAAGAAAAAUAUCUCCCCCCUUUUGGCAUCAUCGGAGAGUUGCAUAAAUUAUGUGAAUCCCAGAAUAUUAAUUAUUACUCAUUGCCACUGGGGCAACUGCAAGUGAAAGCAUGCUUUAGUUAAUCAAAAAUCAACUUGACAAAAAUAACUAUAAAGAUCAAAAUUAACAUAAAGGAAGAGAAAUGCAUAUUGUCAUUGAUAAGCAGUGCUUCUACAUAACAGUCCACAAAAAGAAAGAACAAAAACUACCAACCAUGAGAAAAAACAAAAGAAAGUCCUAGAUCUGGGUCACUAAGGUUUUCUAGACUGGUUCAAAAUAGGACA
rnacentral:lncRNA from 1 species